AUUGAACGCUGGCGGCAUGCCUUACACAUGCAAGUCGAACGGUAACAGGUUAAGCUGACGAGUGGCGAACGGGUGAGUAAUGUAUCGGAACGUGCCCAGUCGUGGGGGAUAACUGCUCGAAAGAGCAGCUAAUACCGCAUACGACCUGAGGGUGAAAGCGGGGGAUCGCAAGACCUCGCGCGAUUGGAGCGGCCGAUAUCAGAUUAGGUAGUUGGUGAGGUAAAGGCUCACCAAGCCGACGAUCUGUAGCUGGUCUGAGAGGACGACCAGCCACACUGGGCUGAGACACGGCCCAGACUCCUACGGGAGGCAGCAGUGGGGAAUUUUGGACAAUGGGCGCAAGCCUGAUCCAGCCAUGCCGCGUGCGGGAAGAAGGCCUUCGGGUUGUAAACCGCUUUUGUCAGGGAAGAAAAGGUUCUGGCUAAUACCUGGGACUCAUGACGGUACCUGAAGAAUAAGCACCGGCUAACUACGUG
rnacentral:rRNA from 1 species